rnacentral:rRNA from 1 species
GCUCCAAUAGCGUAUACUAAAGUUGUUGCAGUUAAAAAGCUCGUAGUCGAAUGAUGAUUCUUUUGUUGGCGCGGACGCUUAGGUGUAACUUAAGAUUGUCUGUGCCAAGAAUCACCUUGGUGUGGUACGAAUUUAGUAGAAAUAUUCUACUAUUAUUCGCCACACACAUUACUGUGAACAAAUAGAGUGUUCAUGGCAGG